UCUUUCGUUAAAGACCAGACGAGCAAAACUUAUGACUUUAGAAACACGAGAUGACGACAAAGUUGAACAAGUGGAAACCAACCUGGAAGACGAAUCCAGUUAUUAUGAAUAUUAAAUUAUUAUUGAUUGACCUUUGUAUAUAAUAUGUAUAUAAUGUAAAUUUUGUAUUACAUCCAGUAGGUAAUAACCAGAAGAAACGAAAAA